UCAAGCAAUUAAGUGCAUACGGUGGAUGCCUAGGCAGUAAGAGACGAUGAAGGACGUGGUAAUCUGCGAUAAGCUUCGGGGAGCUGGUAACAAGUUUUGAUCCGGAGAUUUCCGAAUGGGGAAACCCACUUUACGUAAGUAAGGUAUCACUAUCUGAAUACAUAGGGUAGUGAGGUGAUACCUGGGGAACUGAAACAUCUAAGUACCCAGAGGAAAAGAAAUCAAACGAGAUUCCGUGAGUAGUGGCGAGCGAAAGUGGAAUAGCCCAGCUAUUUUAGUUUUAAUUACUUUAACAGAACAAUUCUGGAAAGAUUGACGAUACAGGGUGAUAGUCCCGUAAGUGAAAAAGUGAUUAAAUACGGUAGCGAAGAGUAGGUCGGGACACGUGAAAUCCUGAUUGAAUAUGGGGGGACCAUCCUCCAAGGCUAAAUACUACUUACUGACCGAUAGUGAACGAGUACCGUGAGGGAAAGGUGAAAAGAACCCCUGUUAGGGGAGUGAAAUAGAACCUGAAACCGUAUGCAUACAAGCAGUGGGAGCAUUAUUUUUUAUAAUGUGACUGCGUACCUUUUGUAUAAUGGGUCAGCGAGUUAUUCGCAAUGGCAAGCUUAACCGAAUAGGGGAGGCGUAGAGAAAUCGAGUCUUAAAUGGGCGUUUUAGUCGUUGUGAGUAGACCCGAAACCGGGCGAUCUAUCCAUGGCCAGGGUGAAGGCAAAUUAAUCUUUGCUGGAGGCCCGAACUCACUAAUGUUGAAAAAUUAGGAGAUGAGCUGUGGAUCGGAGUGAAAGGCUAAUCAAGCCCGGAGAUAGCUGGUUCUCCUCGAAAACUAUUUAGGUAGUGCCUCAUGAGUAACUCCUGGGGGUAGAGCACUGUUUCGGCUAGGGGGUCAUAGCGGCUUAUCAAACCGAGGCAAACUACGAAUACCAGGAAGUUUUAUCAUGGGAGACACACUGUGGGUGAUAAGGUCCAUAGUGGAAAGGGAAACAGCCCAGACCGCCAGCUAAGGUCCCAAAGUUACAGUUAAGUGGGAAACGAAGUGAGAAGGCAUAGAUAACCAGGAGGUUGGCUUAGAAGCAGCCAUCCUUUAAAGAAAGCGUAAUAGCUCACUGGUCUAGUCGACUUGCGCGGAAGAUUUAACGGGGCUAAACUGUGCACCGAAGCUGCGGAACUAAAUCAUAUGAUUUAGUUGGUAGAGGAGCGUUCUGUAAGCCGUUGAAGGUGGACUGUGAGGUUUGCUGGAGGUAUCAGAAGUGCGAAUGCUGACAUGAGUAACGAUAAUGUGGGUGAAAAACCUACACGCCGAAAGUCUAAGGUUUCCUUGCGCAACGUUAAUCGACGCAGGGUGAGUCGGCCCCUAAGGUGAGGCAGAAAUGCGUAGUCGAUGGGAAACAGGUUAAUAUUCCUGUACUUGAUAGUAUUGCGAUGGGAGGACGAAGAAGGCUAGGUCAGCCAUCCGUUGGUUGUGGUGGUUUAAGCUGGUAGGAAGUAUUCUUAGGAAAAUCCGGGAAUGCGUUAAUUCUGAGAGGUGAUGACGACUGUGUUUGGUUCGCUAGGCACGGGAAGUGAUUGAUGCCAUGCUUACAAGAAAAGUCCCUAAGCUUCAGAUACUGUGAAACCGUACCUCAAACCAACACAGGUAGACAGGUAGAGAAUACUAAGGCGCUUGAGAGAACUCUGGUGAAGGAACUAGGCAAAAUAGCACCGUAACCUCGGGAGAAGGUGUGCCUUUAAUGGUGAUGAGCUUUGCGCUUUGAGCUGUUGAAGGUCGAAGUGAAAUGGUGGCUGCGACUGUUUAUUAAAAACAUAGCACUCUGCAAACUCGCAAGAGGACGUAUAGGGUGUGACGCCUGCCCGGUGCCGGAAGGUUAAUUGAGGGAGUUAGCGCGAGCAAAGCUCUUGAUCGAAGCCCCGGUAAACGGCGGCCGUAACUGUAACGGUCCUAAGGUAGCGAAAUUCCUUGUCGGGUAAGUUCCGACCCGCACGAAUGGCGUAACGAUGGCCAUACUGUCUCCACCAGAGACUCAGUGAAAUUGAAAUCGCUGUUAAGAUGCAGUGUACCCACGGCUAGACGGAGAGACCCCGUGCACCUUUACUAUAGCUUUACACUGAAUUUUGAGUGAAUUUGUGUAGGAUAGGUGGGAGACUAUGAAGCAUUCUCGCUAGGGAAUGUGGAGUCAUCCUUGAAAUACCACCCUGAUUUACCUGGAAUUCUAACCCAGAUCCGUGAUCCGGAUCGGAGACAGUGUAUGGUGGGUAGUUUGACUGGGGCGGUCUCCUCCCAAAGAGUAACGGAGGAGCGCAAUGGUACCCUCAGCGCGGUCGGAAAUCGCGCAUUGAGUGCAAAAGUAAAAGGGUGCUUGACUGCGAGACAGACAUGUCGAGCAGGUACGAAAGUAGGUUUUAGUGAUCCGGUGGUUCUGAAUGGAAGGGCCAUCGCUCAACGGAUAAAAGGUACGCCGGGGAUAACAGGCUGAUACCGCCCAAGAGUUCAUAUCGACGGCGGUGUUUGGCACCUCGAUGUCGGCUCAUCACAUCCUGGG
rnacentral:rRNA from 1 species